UACGUAGGAUGCAAGCGUUGUCCGGAAUUAUUGGGCGUAAAGAGCGCGCAGGCGGUUUUUUAAGUCAGAUGUGAAAUAUCCGGGCUUACCCCGGAGGUGUCAUUUGAAACUGAGAGACUAGAGUACAGCAGAGGAUAGCGGAAUUCCCGGUGUAGUGGUGAAAUGCGUAGAUAUCGGGAGGAACACCAGUGGCGAAGGCGGCUAUCUGGGCUGAAACUGACGCUGAGGCGCGAAGGCGAGGGGAGCAAACAGG
rnacentral:rRNA from 1 species